UAUUUACCCCUUCUACAUUUAUGCCAAGUUUCAUUAAAAUCAGAAUUUUUGGGUUCGCGAGGUUCCCUUGUCAGUAAUAAAAGAUAUGCUUAAUCUGAAAUUUUCAGAGGAUUGAUGUUUCAUGAUAUACAAUUAUUUACCGCCAAAAUCAAUUUAAACUUUAAAUCUUUGUCCACAAAACUUUGUCCACAAAACGGGCGAUUUUAGACCUAUUUUUGUGGUCACUCUUUAAUGCCACAUGUCAACUUUUAAUUCAAUUAAAGACAUCAAAUAACAUUUAAAAUAUAUAAAGAUAACAAAACGUAAACGCUUUAUAUAUAAAAAAAGAUAAAAGGCGUUUCGACUUACUUUAAAGUCAUUAUCAACGAAAUAUAAAUAUAUUUAGCAUGACGGAGCAGUAAUUUAAGCUUGGUUUAAACUUGAAUUCCGGAUGAAUGCAUUGAUAGAAACGGAGCGCGAAACAACAACAUUCUAUGGGUUCAAAUCACGUUGUGCGAAGGCAUCAAUUCCAAAGCGUCCAUCUAAGUUCGUCCAUCUAAUAAAAGAAUAUUGAAUAGAGUUGCAAUUGGUGCUGCAACCGUGUCUUUUUUUGUUGGAAUUCUAAAAUUAAAAAAAAAUGUUUAGAUAUACUCUACAAAACACUAAAAAUAAUUCACCCAUAGAUCCGCCUCAUCUCGCACUUUCAUAAAAUUAAUUAACAAUUAUCGAAGUCAAAACGUAAUCCAAUAAAUUAAUGCUAAAUAAAUAUAACGGAAAUUACUGACUGAAUAAAUUUUAAACAAAAGUUAAAGGAGUCAAGUAUAAAAAGUCGAAGUAAAAAGCACUAUGUUAACAGUGCGACAGUUAGAUAACAAGUAAAAUAAAACGUUAAAAUUUGUAAAGGUCGACAAGAGAAAGUGCAAUUAAUAUUAUAAAUUCAUUUAAUAAUUGAGGUAUACGUCUGGUCUAGGAAAUUAUAGGUAUUCGUCUGCAAAUUUAAACCUUGUUUUUGCAACCUAAUAAACAGCAUCUCAGAGGUUAAUCUUUUGUAAAUAUUGAUCUCCGCAUCGAGAACUCUUAUCCCAAUCGAACUCAUGUUCAUGCUGUAUCUCAUGAUUUGUAAUUACCGAACUUGUAGUGAAAUUUCUAUUUAUGUGAUUUCGGUGUUUUGAAAUACGCGUUUUUACUUGUCCUGUUUGGGUUACAUAUGAGGUCUCAUAACCUUUGCAGGCAAUCAUAUACACGUUUCUCAUGGACAAGGUUUUGAGAGGAUCUUUGUGUACUUUAAUAAAUCUCUGUAAUUUAUUUAUGCUGUGCCAAUCUACAAUUAAAAUUUUUUUGUAAUGUUCUUGAAUUUAUUAGAAACACCAUUAACAAAAGGAAUCGUGAACCAAUGAAUUUUUAUCUUUAGAAGCUAACUUGCUGUUAUUAGUUUUAAAGCAUAUUUAUUGGUCAAUUUUUUAAUCCUUUUAUUCACCGUCUUAAAAAUAAAAUUUAUUUAAUUAUUAUUUAACAGUGUUUCGAUGAUAAAAUUAAGAUUUUUUCGAUGAAAUUCAGGAUGCAAGAGACGAAAAACUCUAUCUACCAUGUCUACAAUUACCCCUUUUUUCUGAAAGAGAGGGUACUGAGACAAAUAAUUUAAAUACCUUCCUGACAAGAAUACUGGCCGCAAGAGUUUCAUGUAGAAAUAAUGCAAGUGAAUAUAAAGGAUUGUCAAUCGAUGAAACAAUGAUUCUAAAGGAGCAAUCAGGCUUGUGUAUCUUCGGAAGACCAUACGCUCUAGGAAUUAAACUAUUACUACGAUGCAAUCUUUUAUAAGUAGUUUCUGAAUUAUAGUUCUUAGUUUUCUAUUUUGUCAACAAUUCUUUUAGUUUAGUCGUUAAAUAUCUAGUAGGAUAUUUCUUAAUACAAGAAUAUGUCUCACUGUCUUCAAGUAAAAUUUCCACUUUAUCAAUGUCCUUAUCAAGAGCGAUCGUGAUGUUGCCUUUAUCGGUUUUAGUUAAUAACAAGUUAGGGUUCUCUUUCAAGAACCGUUUUGUAACACCGACCAUAUUACAUAAGUUUUUUGGUUACAAAUAGCUUGUAGAGAAUGUGAAAUCAAAUUGUUCAUGAUCGAAAUGAUUUCUGAUUGAAUCCUGUACUAUACCAGGAAACUUACUUAUAUUCCGUUUAAUAUUCUUAAUAAAUUUAAUAAUCUUAAUAAAUUCAAAAAUCAAUUUCUUUUUAUUUAAUUUUAAAAGUGAAAAGUUUUCUCUAUGUUGUAAUAAACAUUGUAUAUUGUCAGGAAUGGAAAUCGACAAGAAAUUAACGAAUCAAUUUUUUAACGAACAAAAAGAGGAGAAAGAUACAUUAUCCAAAAAAGAUGCAAAAUUAAUAUUAACAGAUUCCAUGUUGGCUUCUAAAAGAGAAAGAGAAAAGAAAAACAACUCCUUCUUGGAAUUGAGACUUACAUUCUCAUCUUGUAUUUGAGAGGGAAGAGCAACCUUGCUCCAGUAAUAGUUAAUUGGAUUGAUAUUUUGGUUAUUUUCUUUUUGCUUGAACAAUAACCAAUCCAUUUUCUUUUCAAUCCUUUUUUCUCAUCAUUAAAAGAGAACCAUAAACUCCUCUCUUGUCUAUUGAAAAUAGAAUCACAAAUACUAAUUGUUAAAGAUCUCGAAAUAUGCUUCACAAGAUGGAAAACGCGCUUAUAGGAAAUUACAGUAUUCACACAGAGAACUUGAAUUCCAUAUACAAUAACAUUAUAAAAUCUGUAUAAUUGUUCUUGAUCUACUUACCCUUCACGGGCUAGCUACAUCUCAAUCUCUUUUUGUAUCUAGAACUGUGCAGACUUAUUACUAUAUUUUUUCUUUUUCUUUACACUUUAAAUUUAUAUCAAUUCUAGUUUUUAUACGUUGUAUUUUAUUUAAUGACUAUUACUAUAUUCGGUUUUUUUUACAUUUGUAAUUUAUAUUGACUCGAGUUUUCACACGUUCGUUUUUUACAUUUUGACUUGUUAACAUCCGAUGUACGAAACUUGUAAGUUUUUAAUGUUUUUUUACUUAGUUCCAAAUCUAUUAUUUUUAAUCAGUUAUUAUUCAAUUGUUUGUCCAUUUAUGUAGUGUAUGAUCCGUGACUUGCGGCCAAGAAAUGCAUUGACCGCAAUGCUUCUUUGGAAAUUUUUUAUCAAUUUGUAUUUGAUAAGGACCUAAUUGAAACAUUGUACUUAACCAUUUAAUCCAUAAUAAAAUUGCCAGUUGGGUCCAAUCUA